GGAACGGGAGUGCGGUAGCGUGGGGCCAGCGUCACCCCACCUAGGAGCAGCACAAGGCAUCAGGAGGUGCUUCCAGAUCUACUGUGGACCUUUUGCACCAAGCAAGCUUGGGCUGUUUUUUCAUUUUCUUUUCCUCUCCUCUCAUUUUUUAGCCAUCGCGAUGUGGGAGUUUCCCAGUGCCUUUCAAAGAUUUGUACCAAAGAUCAAAAAACCCCUUGCUGUUAAUGAGAUCUGUGGAGGUGCUAAACUGUUACCUGGUGAACUGCUGUGAGAGCAACUGCAGCCUCAUCUGGUCUGCCUAGUAAAAUUAACACUUUCAAGCAGAUUGUACAGUCAAAUGCAUGUGUAUUUCCAAGCACUAUAUGCCAUGCUUCUGAAAUGAGAGCCUGUGUCUUGGAAAAGAUUGUCUAAAAGUUUCAGACAAACUUACAGAUAAGGUCCCAGCACAGGAUGUCUGAUAUGACUGUUGGAUGUACUAAUGGGAUUUGUAUACAGUAAAUCAAUUUACAUGUGUAUGAAUGAGUAAUACUAGAGGAACAUGUGUAGCUUUGACAUUAAAGGUGUUGUGUAAGAAAAUUCCCCCAGGAAUGGGAGGAGCUGAGCAUGAACCCUAGCACAGGGGCAGUCUCAUAGUAGGGCUUGAAUAGAG
rnacentral:lncRNA from 1 species